GACGAACGCUGGCGGCGUGCUUAACACAUGCAAGUCGAACGGAAAGGCCCUGCUUUUGUGGGGUGCUCGAGUGGCGAACGGGUGAGUAACACGUGAGUAACCUGCCCUUGACUUUGGGAUAACUUCAGGAAACUGGGGCUAAUACCGGAUAGGAGCUCCUGCUGCAGGGUGGGGGUUGGAAAGUUUAGGCGGUUGGGGAUGGACUCGCGGCUUAUCAGCUUGUUGGUGGGGUAGUGGCUUACCAAGGCUUUGACGGGUAGCCGGCCUGAGAGGGUGACCGGGCACAUUGGGACUGCGGGACGGACCAGACUGCUACGGGAGGCAGCGGGGGGGAAUAUUGCACAAUGGGCGGAAGCCUGAGGCAGCGACGCCGCGUGCGGGAUGACGGCCUUCGGGUUGUAAACCGCUUUAGCCUGUGACGAAGCGUGAGUGACGGUAAUGGGUAAAGAAGCACCGGCUAACUACGUG
rnacentral:rRNA from 1 species